CCGAACUUGCACCGACAGCCUUUUGUCAGGCCUGUGACAUGCUUUCUGACUGCUGCAAGAUGUUUGUCAGAGCCCCACACCAUGACUAAGUCAUUGGUUCUUGACCAUCCGUACCUUGAAGAGGUAUUAUGGCCAGCUGCUACUCCCCAUUGAGAAAAGAUCCCUGCAAGCAUACUUGACUGGCUGUAUGUGUCUAACACAUCUGCAAGCACCAACUGGAGUGGGUGCUGCACAAUGAUCGAUGCACGUAAUCGUUACCCACAGCAGUGGUGUCGGUCAGUGCUGUAACUACCUUCCUCAACAAUCACCAGCUGUGUGGAGUGACAAGUUUUGACAAAAUUAGUCGGCCUCUCUCCUUCUUAUCCCUUUAUCGACUCAGAGGAGAUGCUUGACCACCACAUAAUUUGGUAUUUCCCCUUUAGCCUAAUAUUUGCUUCCUACACCAGCCACAGUGCUUCUCUUCCCGCGCUCUUUUUUUUUCGCUGGUUUGGGAUUAUCUUUUGUGCUACAUUCUGUUCCUGCUCUUGGUGCAAUGCAUUUCCAACAAAUACAGUCAUUCUGGUCUAAAUUGGAGUCAACUGUACAGGUUUCCAAUGCAUUCAAGCACUAUUGGAUU